rnacentral:rRNA from 1 species
AGAUUGAACUGGAGAGUUUGAUCCUGGCUCAGAUUGAACGCUGGCGGCAUGCCUUACACAUGCAAGUCGGACGGCAGCACGCCUGACCACUGAAUGCAUUGGGGACUUUGAGCGGGGCCGCGGGGUCUUGGCAGUGCAUUGAGUGGUCAGGUGGUGGCGAGUGGCGAACGGGUGAGUAAUGCAUCGGAACGUACCCAGUGGUGGGGGACAACCCCGAGAAAUCGGGGCUAAUACCGCAUACG